GCGGAAGUGGCGAAAUUGGUAGACGCACCAGGAUUUAGGUUCUGGCGCCGCGAGGCGUAAGAGUUCAAGUCUCUUCUUCCGCACCA
rnacentral:tRNA from 1 species